CCGACACACAAACAGAUCAGAGAGAUCUGGAUGACGGGCAGCAAGAACUGGAAACACAACGAGCUGCGAGCACAGAGGAGACGGGCGGCGAUGUUUCUCCACUUCGGCAGCAAAUGUCUGGCUCGCACCUUCCAGUCCGCUGUACCGUCACACACACACACAAUAAAGAUGCACUUUAAAAGUUCUUGCUCCGCUUCCCAGAAUCGGCCGACUCUCAUCGCGCCCGCUCUCGAAUGAUUGGCUGUUCUCCAACGCUCCCUGCGGACUGGACCCCUGUUUAGAGCCGAUCUGGUCUGACGUCUCACACAGCUGCAGGAAGGCAUGCUCCAAGGUCUGCAAUAGAUAAUAGAUGCAUAAUGUAAAGACGGACCAGAUGAUAAGUGUACAAUAUUAUUUUCCCCAUUAAGGCUUCUCUUUGUCUUUACAAAGCAGAAAAUAUCACAGCAUAAAUGUUUUUUUCUGUUUUAUUUUCAAUGAGACAUAUUAA